rnacentral:lncRNA from 1 species
UUUGGAUCCGAGAGAAGAUGAUUGAGAGUGGCAGAGGAGCGCAGCUCAAUGAGUGCAGAAGCGCUCUGGCCGGAGCUUAUAACGCUCUGUUUUAUUUUUCCUAUUUUCUUUUUAUGUAAGUAGUACUCGAAAAAUAUUAAGUAAUAUGUUUGUAAAAGAAUUAUUUGGAAAUUUUUUUGACACAAGUAGAGAGAUGGCAAGCUCGCCUAGCUCAGGGGAGCUGUGAUUUAUUUUCUUUCUA